rnacentral:rRNA from 1 species
CCUACGGGUGGCAGCAGUGAGGAAUAUUGGUCAAUGGGCUUACGCCUGAACCAGCCAAGUCGCGUGAGGGAAGACUGCCCUAUGGGUUGUAAACCUCUUUUGUCAGGGAGCAAUUGGCGCUACGUGUAGCGUUAUCGAGAGUACCUGAAGAAAAAGCAUCGGCUAAAGCCGUGCCAGGAGCCGCGGUAAUACGGAGGAUGCGAGCGUUAUCCGGAUUUAUUGGGUUUAAAGGGGGCGUAGGCGGAAUGCAAAGUCAGCGGUAAAAUCGCGGGGCUCAACCUCUCUCCCCUGUUGAAACUGGUGUUCGUGUGGGCGAGAAGUAUGCGGCAUGCGUGGUGUAGCGGUGAAAUGCAUAGAUCUCACGCAGAACUCCGAUUGCGAAGGCAGCAUACCGGCGCCCAGCUGACGCUGAAGCACGAAAGCGUGGGUAUCGAACAGGAUUAGAUACCCCAGUAGUC